rnacentral:lncRNA from 10 species
CUUUUCGAGGUAGGAGUCGACUCCUGUGAGGUAUGUUUUAUCUUUGCGAAUGUUGCGGGUUUUGGGGCGCUCCAGCCUUUGUCUGCUAAGGUCACCCUGAAUUGACUGGGACUUCUAAGCCAGUCGCGCGCCUUUGCAGGGCCUACAAGUUGAGGAUGGUGGGGGAUUGCACAUAUGGUGCAUGCGUGACCUAAGCUGCGACUAUGUUAGAGUAGAACUGCGGAGAAGCCUCGGCUCUCGUGCCCUGCCUCUGAUGAAGCCUGUGUUGGUAGGGACAUCUGAGAGUAAUGAUGAAUGCCAACCGCUCUGAUGGUGGCACAUGCCGAGUCACCCGAGUAAGCUAUUGUUAAGGGCCGUGACCCGAGCCUCCAUCAGCCGUCCGCUCUCAUGAAAGGCUGUCGGUGGUAGUCCACGUGCUUAAGUGCCUGCAUUCCGCAGUGUCACCAAUAUUUCCAUUAGUGUUUCUUUUUUCUUUUUUGAGACCGAGCCUCGUUCUGUCACCCAGGCUGGAAUGCAGUGGCUCGACAUCGGUUAAUGGCAACCUCCGCGUCCCGAGUUAAGCAGUUCUGCCUCAGCCUCCCAAGUAACUGGGACUACAGGCGCGCGCCACCAUGCUAGGCUUUUAUAUUUUUAGUAGAGACGGGGUUUCACCAUGUUGGCGAGACUGGUCUUGAACUCCUGACCUCAGGUGAUCCACCAGCCGUGGUCCCCCAACAUACUGGGAUUACAAGCCGUGAGCCACCGCGCCCGGCCGCCAUCGGUGGUUCUUAACUGCGGGUGCAGUGCUUCUUUGUAACAUUAAGUGUAUCCUUUACCUGUCGCUAGAUAAUGAAUGGUAUGUUACCUGCAUCAUUGGUUUAAAAAGACGAACCGUUUUUUUAAAGAACACUCUUUAAAAAAAAGAACCGUGGAACAAUGAAUUAAAAUCUGUACCUGAUCUCUUUAGGUAUGGUGCUGGGUGCAGAUGCAGUGUGGCUCUGGAUAGCACCUUAUGGACAGUUGUGUCCCCAAGGAAGGAUGAGAAUAGCUACUGAAGUCCUAAAGAGCAAGCCUAACUCAAGCCAUUGGCACACAGGCAUUAGACAGAAAGCUGGAAGUUGAAAUGGUGGAGUCCAACUUGCCUGGACCAGCUUAAUGGUUC